UCAAACUUGGUCAUUUAGAGGAAGUAAAAGUCGUAACAAGGUUUCCGUAGGUGAACCUGCGGAAGGAUCAUUAGAGAACACGCCCCCCUCGGGGGGCCUCUCAUCCCACACACACACACGUGCACCCUCGUCGGGCCUCUCGGGGCCCGUCCCUUUUUUUCCCAAACACAAGUCCUCGAACGUCUUCAUAUGAUAACAGAAACAACUUUCAACAACGGAUCUCUUGGCUCUCGCAUCGAUGAAGAACGCAGC
rnacentral:misc_RNA from 1 species